AAAGUGCUAACCUGCUUACUGUGUUUCACCACAUUGCGGACACAUACUUACAAACAGGUACAAUGUUACAAAGAUAUUUAGCUAUUGUGAAAGCUAAUCUUAUAUUUAUCCAUAACAUAUUUCUAUUCUAUAUUAAAUAUUCAGAAUUCUCCAUGGAUAGCUGGCAUCAUGUUUGUAAAAUGUAUUUUGUGAGGCAUGGGUUUAUUAUUAUUUUUUUUUUUAUAACCUUAGCAUGAACUGAUUGUAGGGACUGGAACAAAUUGAUCUGGAAAAUAAUCGUCUGGAGCUUCAUAGUCCAGAAACUGUGCCUCUAUCGAAUGUGCCUGGGGCAUCUUUACCAGCAAAGCCAGGUAAGGCUCUAGCAGUGGCAUUUCUACCAUUCAGUUACCCAGAGACAGAGAGAUCUCAAUCUGUGCUGACCCUGACCUGAGCAUUUAAAGUGGAACCGUCACCUCCCAGGCGUUUUAUUAUUAUGUUUACUUCUUUCCUAUAUUUAAUAAAGCAUAUACACGCUGUUGCUAUUCACAUGAAAAGUGUUGCCCCCGCCUAACCUCUGGUUAGACAAGUUUGUAAGCCACGUUGUAAGUGAUAGUCAACGUGAAUUUUAAGUGUCUUGUUUUUUUUUUGUUUGUUUUAUUUAUCUUUUGUUUUUGUGUGUUCUCUUGCGGUGUUUUUUGUUUUAUUUUUUACCCUGCACUAAUGCUUUUCUUGUUUCCCUUCAAGGAGCACAAGGAAAGUGCUAACCUGCUUUGAAUGCACCUUUACCAGC